rnacentral:rRNA from 1 species
AGGACGAACGCUGGCGGCGCGCUUAACACAUGCAAGUCGAGCGAGAACCUGGCCUUCGGGCCUGGGGAAAGCGGCGAACGGGUGAGUAACACGUGGGUAACCCACCCUUGGUACCGGGAUAGCCCGAGGAAACUCGGAUUAAUACCGGAUGGCCCAACAGCUCUUCGGGGCGGUUGGAAAAGGUAGCUUCGGCCUCCGACCAAGGACGGGCCCGCGGCGGAUUAGCUUGUUGGUGAGGUAACGGCUCACCAAGGCGACGAUCCGUAGCUGGUCUGAGAGGACGAUCAGCCACACUGGGACUGAGACACGGCCCAGACUCCUACGGGAGGCAGCAGUGGGGAAUCUUGCGCAAUGGGCGAAAGCCUGACGCAGCAACGCCGCGUGCGGGAGGAAGGCCUUCGGGUCGUAAACCGCUUUCAGGGGGGACGAAGCCACCAGGGUUAAUAGCCCAUGGGGUGACGGUACCCCCAGAAGAAGCCCCGGCUAACUACGUGCCAGCAGCCGC